UUUGUUUCCAGGUUCGGCCUU
rnacentral:miRNA from 1 species